UCACUCGGCUCGUGUGUCGAUGAAGAGCGCAGCCAACUGUGUGAAUUAAUGCAAACUGCAUACUGCUUUGAACAUCGACAUCUUGAACGCAUAUUGCGGCCAUGGGUUAGCCUGUGGCCACGCCUGUCCGAGGGUCGGCUUAUAAACUAUCACGACGCCCAAAAAGUCGUGGCUUGGGUUUUGCCAGCUGGCGUGAUCUCCUCUAUGAGUAAUCAUGUGAGGUGCCAGAUCUAUGGCGUUUCCCUAAUGUAUCCGGAUGCACCCUUGUCUUGGCAGAAAGCCGUGGUGAGGUGCAGUGGCGGAAUCGUGGUUUAAUAAUCGGGUUGGUACUCAGUUGUCAGUGUGUUCGGCGAUCCCCUAGUCGGCACACUCAUGAUUUCUGGGAUAAUUCCAUACCAGGCACGUUCCGUUACUGUUACUUUGUCAUUGGUUUGAUGCUGAACUUGGUCAUGUGUCUGAUGCUAUUUCAUAUAACGACGGUACCCUUCGUGGUCUGUCUUCCU
rnacentral:rRNA from 1 species